AGCUUGCUUCUUUGCUGACGAGUGGCGGACGGGUGAGUAAUGUCUGGGAAACUGCCUGAUGGAGGGGGAUAACUACUGGAAACGGUAGCUAAUACCGCAUAACGUCGCAAGACCAAAGAGGGGGACCUUCGGGCCUCUUGCCAUCGGAUGUGCCCAGAUGGGAUUAGCUAGUAGGUGGGGUAACGGCUCACCUAGGCGACGAUCCCUAGCUGGUCUGAGAGGAUGACCAGCCACACUGGAACUGAGACACGGUCCAGACUCCUACGGGAGGCAGCAGUGGGGAAUAUUGCACAAUGGGCGCAAGCCUGAUGCAGCCAUGCCGCGUGUAUGAAGAAGGCCUUCGGGUUGUAAAGUACUUUCAGCGGGGAGGAAGGGAGUAAAGUUAAUACCUUUGCUCAUUGACGCUACCCGCAGAAGAAGCACCGGCUAACUCCGUGCCAGCAGCCGCGGUAAUACGGAGGGUGCAAGCGUUAAUCGGAAUUACUGGGCGUAAAGCGCACGCAGGCGGAUUGUUAAGUCAGAUGUGAAAUCCCCGUGCUCAACCUGGGAACUGCAUCUGAUACUGACAAGCUU
rnacentral:rRNA from 1 species